AACCCUUAAACCACCUUCGAAACACCGUCAAAACCGCCGUUGCUCUCGCCAGCAAACUCUCUCCAUCUACCUUCAAAUCGCGCUCUCACCGACAAACCCUUCAUCGCUCACCCAUCCAAAAACUCCGCCGCCGUUCAUCUACCUCAGCAACCUUCAAAUCCACCAAAACCCUCCAUCGCUCAAAUCGACAAAAUCCCUUCAUCCGCCGUUAACCUCCACAAAUGUCGUCACCUUCAACCAUCGGACCACCACCACAACUCAACGGCGCCACGUUUCCAUAACCCUAAACCCUUUGACCACCAACCCUCACGAAAACCCUUCAUUUUCCGUCAUACCCGCCGCCACACAUUUUCAACAAAUCCUCAUAUCACCAUCGACCAAAACCCUCGCUUUAAUGGCUGUUUGGACAUUUGAUGGGUUGUGAAUUCAUUUCUAUUUUGCAGGUCAAACCAUUGCGGUGAUUUCGGUCUCGCAAGCCUUGAGGACAGGUCGAUGAUCAUUGUGGCCAUAGAGCCGAAAUCAAAACCGGGACAGAUCGCAGGAGGAAGCUUUGAGUGAGCGGAGGCGAUAAAACAACAGUAAGAGCUAGCAGCAACGACAAAUGCAUCAGUAGCUGGUAAUACCGGAAGAGUCGUAUUUCGGUAAAAAUCUCG
rnacentral:lncRNA from 1 species